AAAAGUCGGGCAAUUUUCGGGUAGUCAGGCAAAUUGCCGACCGCAAACCAGGAAAAUGUUGGCCGCCCAUGCUCAAAUUGACCUCGUAACCACUUUAUUACCUAUACUUAUCCCUUUUCUUCAUAACCCAAUCCUAAAAUGUUAACCGUAGUCCAUUGUGCAAAAGACUAAUAUACCUAAUAAACCAAUUUAUAAUACAUACGUCGUGCAGGCUUCCAGUUAAAUUUGGAUUGCAAUUCCUCCUCCUUCUGAUAAGGUUUCCCGCUGCUCAAUUCCAAGCGAAUAUUAGUUACACCACAUGAAAGUUUCUUGCAAAUUU